rnacentral:rRNA from 1 species
AGAUAAUAGAUACCCGGGUAGUCCACGCCCUAAACGAUGUCGACUGGUUGUUGGGGGUUUGACACUCUCAGUAAACGAAAGCUAAACGCGUGAAGUCGACCGCCUGGGGAGUACGGCCGCAAGGUUAAAACUCAAAGGAAUUGACGGGGACCCGCACAAGCGGUGGAUUAUGUGAAUUAAUUCGAUGCAACGCGAAAAACCUUACCUACCCUUGACAUGUCCAGAAGGCUGCUGAAGGGCGGCUGUGCCCGAAAGGGAACUGGAACACAGGUGCUGCAUGGCUGUCGUCAGCUCGUGUCGUGAGAUGUUGGGUUAAGUCCCGCAACGAGCGCAACCCUUGUCAUUAGUUGCUACCCGCAAGGGAGCACUCUAAUGAGACUGCCGGUGACAAACCGGAGGAAGGUGGGGAUGACGUCAAGUCCUCAUGGCCCCUAUGGGUAGGGCUUCACACGUAAUACAAUGGCGCGUACAGAGGGUUGCCAAGGAGCGAUCUGGAGCCAAUCCCGU